UACGUAGGGGGGCAAGCGUUGUCCGGAAUCAUUGGGCGUAAAGCGCGCGUAGGCGGCCCGGUAAGUCCGCUGUGAAAGUCGGGGGCUCAACCCUCGGAUGCCGGUGGAUACUGGAUGGCUUGAGUUCGGGAGAGGGAUGCGGAAUUCCAGGUGUAGCGGUGAAAUGCGUAGAUAUCUGGAGGAACACCGGUGGCGAAGGCGGCAUCCUGGACCGGCACUGACGCGUGAGGAGCGAAAGCCAGGGGAGCAAACGGGG
rnacentral:rRNA from 1 species